UACAGAGGGUGCAAGCGUUGUUCGGAAUUAUUGGGCGUAAAGCGCUUGUAGGCGGCCUGUUAAGUUCCGUGUGAAAUCCCCAGGCUUAACCUGGGAAGUGCGCGGAAAACUGGCGGGCUUGAGUGCCGGAGAGGGUCGCGGAAUUCCCGGUGUAGAGGUGAAAUUCGUAGAUAUCGGGAGGAACACCAGUGGCGAAGGCGGCGACCUGGACGGACACUGACGCUGAGACGCGAAAGCGUGGGGAGCAAACAGG
rnacentral:rRNA from 1 species